rnacentral:rRNA from 1 species
CGGUCUUACCAUGCAGUCGACGGUGAAGCCAAGCUUGCUUGGUGGAUCAGUGGCGAACGGGUGAGUAACACGUGAGCAACCUGCCCUGGACUCUGGGAUAAGCGCUGGAAACGGCGUCUAAUACUGGAUAUGAGCCUCUAUCGCAUGGUGGGGGUUGGAAAGAUUUUUUGGUCUGGGAUGGGCUCGCGGCCUAUCAGCUUGUUGGUGAGGUAAUGGCUCACCAAGGCGUCGACGGGUAGCCGGCCUGAGAGGGUGACCGGCCACACUGGGACUGAGACACGGCCCAGACUCCUACGGGAGGCAGCAGUGGGGAAUAUUGCACAAUGGGCGGAAGCCUGAUGCAGCAACGCCGCGUGAGGGAUGACGGCCUUCGGGUUGUAAACCUCUUUUAGCAGGGAAGAAGCGAGAGUGACGGUACCUGCAGAAAAAGCGCCGGCUAACUACGUGCCAGCAGCCGCGGUAAUACGUAGGGCGCAAGCGUUAUCCGGAAUUAUUGGGCGUAAAGAGCUCGUAGGCGGUUUGUCGCGUCUGCUGUGAAAUCCCGAGGCUCAACCUCGGGUCUGCAGUGGGUACGGGCAGACUAGAGUGCGGUAGGGGAGAUUGGAAUUCCUGGUGUAGCGGUGGAAUGCGCAGAUAUCAGGAGGAACACCGAUGGCGAAGGCAGAUCUCUGGGCCGUAACUGACGCUGAGGAGCGAAAGGGUGGGGAGCAAACAGGCUUAGAUACCCUGGUAGUCCACCCCGUAAACGUUGGGAACUAGUUGUGGGGACCAUUCCACGGUUUCCGUGACGCAGCUAACGCAUUAAGUUCCCCGCCUGGGGAGUACGGCCGCAAGGCUAAAACUCAAAGGAAUUGACGGGGACCCGCACAAGCGGCGGAGCAUGCGGAUUAAUUCGAUGCAGCGCGAAGAACCUUACCAAGGCUUGACAUA